rnacentral:lncRNA from 1 species
AUGGGUCAUUGACACCACCAAUUAAGGCUUUAUUGCACUCAUUGCAUAUAUUAAGUUUUGGAGGCUUUAGACUUCCUGAUGAUCAAGAAUUGCAUCUCUACUAUGAGGACUGCUAUCAACCCUUCUGGAUGAAGAUACCGCAUGAAACAUGUGUACAGACUGGAUAACUAGUAUGGCUGUCCGCAUUAUUUGUCUUGCACUGGAACCACCACCAUAAUUCUCAGCAGGGGGUGAUAACGGCAACUGCAUUUCAAGGUCCAUAUGAGGAUCAUUAACCUCUUGCAUCCUGUACAGUACAGCACAAAUCCAACUAUAAAUAGGCACACAAUAUACAGAUUAAUAUUAUGAUAUGCCAGAAAUUAUUUUUUGGUAACAAAAACCGUGAUUGAUGACCUACCUUGUUCAAAGACAGAGAGAAAUAGAAAGAUGCUGCGAAUGCUUGCUAUGUAAAGGCCAAAGGGUGUGUAAUUAUAUAUAGGCAGAAAAGAGAGAAGAGGGAUACCACACGCGGCAUGGUGCAUGGUUGUGUUAUUACUUUUAAAUUUCAAGGAUAUUCAAUUACAGCAUCCAUGAAAUGCAACAAUCAUAUCUACGAAAGUCUAAUAGAUAUUGCAACGAAUAUACACGAAUAAAAAGUAUGUAUGAUUGGUCAAUUUGUCGACAAUGAAAUAUGCAAAUGUUAUAUAUACAUAUAUAUAGGGUGAGCAUCAAUAGGAAGUUUAUUUUGGCUAAGAAGGAUAGAAAACAAAAUAUAAUUAUGACAUGUGGCAAAAUUUAAAAUAAAAAAAAAGGGUAUUUUAGUCAAUUUUACUCAAUCUUCUCCCUUCUUCUUCUCUCUGUAACUUCAAAACCCAUCAUUUUCAAAAUCCACCAUCUU